rnacentral:lncRNA from 1 species
AUCUGAGUUGUUCUUUGUCUCGUUAUGUUUGCUGAUUAUCCUGUCCACAUUCUUCUAUUGUAUCCGUACUGCUGUAAGAUUUGUUUCAAAUGGUUGAGUUAUUUACAGAUGAUUAGACUACAGAACGAAGAUGGAGACUCUCGUUUCGAAAAAAAUAUAUACAAGGCUUGAUAGACAAACAGGAAAAUUAGCAUUUUAAUAAAAAAAAAAUGGACUCCUCAGCAAAGCAAUAUUGAAACACGAAUUCUCUUCCACUAUAUGGUCUGCCAAAAUAAAUUACAAUAUAAAUUCAAUAUACAAUAUACAAUAAUAUACAAUAUAAAUUCAAUAUCCCUCUCAAACCAAUUGUCAGCACCAUAAAAUCUCGGACAUAUAACCUCUCACGCUCUUAGCUCGCGAUUACAACCUCUGAUAGGGAGGAUUGAAUCACAUAUCACCAAUUCGAUGGAUUUCAUACGGAAAAUCCAAAAACUUCGUCUGCAUCCUGAAGAUAUAUUGCGGAACAAAUACAAGAAGGAUGUAGAACAGAAAAAAGAACAAGACACAUAACAAGGAACAGGAAGAAGCCUCUCUUUCAUGUGUAAAAAUAACAACAGACCGAAUCUCGGCAGGAUUUUGAACAAACACAACAUCCGAACCAUUUUCAAGCUUCCAAAGAAGAUCGAACAAAUCUUGAGAAAUCCUCAAGCUCAAAGACUUCUAUUCAGUGGAGUACAAAAUAUACUUACUUAUUCUUGCGGGAAAGUAUACAUCGGUGAAACCGAAAGAAUGGUCAACAUGCGCAUGAAGGAACAUCAACGGGCUGUUCAUGUCAGGCUGGAACAUGUCAUUCAAUCAGCAUUGGCAAAACAGCGUUGAGGACAUUAAAUAUUAUUCGAAAAUAAUUAUUCGAAUAAAAUGGCUACUAUAGCUAUAACGAUGUCAUAUUUUCCGAGGAAAUACAAAGAGGCUUUAAAAAUACAGAAACAUCUAGGCAAUUUGAAUAGAGUUUCAGAUUAUAAUCUGCUUCCUCAACAAAACACCAUUUAACUAUGUCAAAUAAGUAACGAGAAUACGUCAUGACAUGAAGAAAACAUGACGGACGCUCUGUUCUAGAACUUACAU